UACGGAAGGCAGCAGUGGGGAAUAUUGCACAAUGGGCGAAAGCCUGAUGCAGCUAUGCCGCGUGUAUGAAGAAGGCCUUAGGGUUGUAAAGUACUUUCAUCGGGGAGGAAAAAACAAAACUAAUAAUUUUAUUUCUUGACGUUACCCGAAAAAGAAGCACCGGCUAACUCCGUGCCAGCAGCCGCGGUAAUACGGAGGGUGCUAGCGUUAAUCAGAAUUACUGGGCGUAAAGAGCACGUAGGUGGUUUUUUUAAGUCAGAUGUGAAAUCCCUGGGCUUAACCUGGAACUGCAUUUUGAAACUGAAAUACUAGAGUAUCGUAGAGGGAGGUAGAAUUCUAGGUGUAGCGGUGAAAUGCGUAGAUAUCUGGAGGAAUACCUGUGGCGAAAGCGGCCUCCUAAACGAAUACUGACACUGAGGUGCGAAAGCGUGGGGAGCAAACAGGGAUUAGAUACCCUCGAGACGUGCACGGACGGCAACACGGGAGGUA
rnacentral:rRNA from 1 species